rnacentral:rRNA from 1 species
GACUGCUAAUACCGCAUAAGCGCACAGGGUCGCAUGACCUGGUGUGAAAAACUCCGGUGGUAUGAGAUGGACCCGCGUCUGAUUAGCCAGUUGGUGGGGUAACGGCCUACCAAAGCAACGAUCAGUAGCCGACCUGAGAGGGUGACCGGCCACAUUGGGACUGAGACACGGCCCAAACUCCUACGGGAGGCAGCAGCGGGGAAUAUUGCACAAUGGGGGAAACCCUGAUGCAGCGACGCCGCGUGAGCGAAGAAGUAUUUCGGUAUGUAAAGCUCUAUCAGCAGGGAAGAAGAAAUGACGGUACCUGACUAAGAAGCACCGGCUAAAUACGUGCCAGCAGCCGCGGUAAUACGUAUGGUGCAAGCGUUAUCCGGAUUUACUGGGUGUAAAGGGAGCGCAGGCGGUACGGCAAGUCUGAUGUGAAAGCCCGGGGCUCAACCCCGGUACUGCAUUGGAA